UACGGUAGGUGGCAAGCGUUGUUCGGAAUUACUGGGGCGUAAAGGGCUCGUAGGCGGCCAACUAAGUCAGACGUGAAAUCCCCUCGGCUUAACCGGGGAACUGCGUCUGAUACUGGAUGGCUUGAGUUUGGGAGAGGGAUGCGGAAUUCCAGGUGUAGCGGUGAAAUGCGUAGAUAUCUGGAGGAACACCGGUGGCGAAGGCGGCAUCCUGGACCAACACUGACGCUGAGGAGCGAAAAGCCAGGGGAGCAAACAGG
rnacentral:rRNA from 1 species